AGGCCCCUGUGCCAGAGCCACCCUCGAGGAGGGUCAGGCCAGGUCCCCACAGCCCUUUGCAUGCCUCGGCUGAGGCCCUGCUGCACAUCCCCACUUGGCGAGCUGGAACAUGUCCCCCUGGGUCAGCGCCCCAAACGGCCACCGGAGAGCUCGAGGUCUGGGGCGCUCGUGGCACCUGAGUCAAGCCUGACUGUGCCGUCAUCCCCAGCCCAGCUGCCUCCAUGGCGGGGCAGGGGCACAGGAGGGACCUUGCACAGACGGAAGGUGGGUGUGCUCUGUCCACCUGCCGGGCCGGAGCAGGGAGGUGCAGCCACAGCCUGG
rnacentral:lncRNA from 1 species